GAUGAAGAACGCAGCGAAAUGCGAUAAGUAAUGCGAAUUGCAGAUUUCAGUGAAUCAUCGAAUCUUUGAACGCACAUUGCGCCCGCCAGUAUUCUGGCGGGCAUGCCUGUUCGAGCGUCAUUUCAACCAUCAAGCCCCGGGCUUGUGUUGGGGACCUGCGGCUGCCGCAGGCCCUGAAAUGCAGUGGCGGGCUCGCUGUCACUCCGAGCGUAGUAGUUACAUCUCGCUCUGGGCGUGCUGCGGGUUCCGGCCGUUAAAAGCCUUAUUUACCCAAGGUUGACCUCGGAUCAGGUAGGAAGACCCGCUGAACUUAAGCAUAUCAAUAAGCGGAGGA
rnacentral:misc_RNA from 1 species